UACGUAGGUGUCGAGCGUUGUCCGGAAUUACUGGGCGUAAAGGGCUCGUAGGCGGCCAACUAAGUCAGACGUGAAAUCCCUCGGCUUAACCGGGGAACUGCGUCUGAUACUGGAUGGCUUGAGUGUGGGAGAGGAAUGCGGAAUUCCAGGUGUAGCGGUGAAAUGCGUAGAUAUCUGGAGGAACACCGGUGGCGAAGGCGGCAUUCUGGACCAUUACUGACGCUGAGGAGCGAAAGCCAGGGGAGCAAACGGG
rnacentral:rRNA from 1 species